rnacentral:rRNA from 1 species
AGAGUUUGAUCCUGGCUCAGAACGAACGCUGGCGGCAUGCCUAACACAUGCAAGUCGAACGGCAGCACAGCAGUAGCAAUACUGUGGGUGGCGAGUGGCGGACGGGUGAGUAAUGCAUCGGGACCUACCCAGACGUGGGGGAUAACGUAGGGAAACUUACGCUAAUACCGCAUACGUCCUACGGGAGAAAGCAGGGGACCUUCGGGCCUUGCGCGGUGAGACGAACCGAUGUUCGAUUAGCUAGUUGGUAGGGUAAUGGCCUACCAAGGCGACGAUCGAUAGCUGGUCUGAGAGGAUGAUCAGCCACACUGGAACUGAGACACGGUCCAGACUCCUACGGGAGGCAGCAGUGGGGAAUAUUGGACAAUGGGCGCAAGCCUGAUCCAGCAAUGCCGCGUGUGUGAAGAAGGCCCUCGGGUUGUAAAGCACUUUUAUCAGGAACGAAAUACCACGGGUUAAUACCCUAUGGGGCUGACGGUACCUGAGGAAUAAGCACCGGCUAACUUCGUGCCAGCCGCCGCGGUAAUAC